GUGUCCUACGGGACGCAGCAGUGGGGAAUCUUCCACAAUGGGCGAAAGCCUGAUGGAGCAACGCCGCGUGGGUGAAGAAGGUCUUCGGAUCGUAAAGCUCUGUUGCGGGGGAAAAAAGGCAGCAUCAGGAAAUGGGUGCUGACUGACGGUGCCCCGCCAGAAAGUCACGGCUAACUACGUGCCAGCAGCCGCGGUAAUACGUAGGUGGCGAGCGUUAUCCGGAAUGAUUGGGCGUAAAGGGGGCGCAGGCGGUCCUGCAAGUCUGGAGUGAAACGCAUGAGCUCAAC
rnacentral:rRNA from 1 species